rnacentral:rRNA from 1 species
GCCUACGGGAGGCAGCAGUGAGGAAUAUUGGUCAAUGGCCGCAGGGCUGAACCAGCCAAGUCGCGUGAGGGAUGACGGUCCUAUGGAUUGUAAACCUCUUUUGUCAGGGAGCAAAGGGCGCCACGUGUGACUCAUUGAGAGUACCCGAAGAAAAAGCAUCGGCUAACUCCGUGCCAGCAGCCGCGGUAAUACGGAGGAUGCGAGCGUUAUCCGGAUUUAUUGGGUUUAAAGGGUGCGCAGGCGGAGGUGCAAGUCAGCGGUCAAAUUGCGGGGCUCAACCCCGUACUGCCGUUGAAACUGCAUCC